rnacentral:lncRNA from 1 species
UCUGGGUUUGAAUCCCAGUGCUGCCACUUACUAGCUGUGUGACCUUGAAGUUACUUAAACUCUGUGUGCCUCAGUUUCCUCAUAUGUAAGGUAAAGAUCAUAAUAUCUUAUAGGUUGCUGUGGAGAUUAAAUUAGUCAAAUACAUGUAAUGUACUUAGGUACUAGGCACAUAGUAAGUGUUCAAUAAAUGUGACCGUAGUUGGGGUGGAAUUACAGGUGGGCACUUGGAAAAUAUGCAUAAUGCAAGUCAGUUUUAUCUGUUGCAGUGUGAAAUCUGGGCACCUUUUUGAGAGUAUAGGAUGCAUGUAAACAUUGCUGCCCAGUCACGGUGGGAAUGGCAGCUGGGAUGGGAGGAAGUUGAGAACAUUGUUACACAACAUGUACUGUUAUUUAAACAAAUAACAAUCUUAGAAAAAUAAAGAAGAUACGG